UGAUUUUCUUUUUUUUUGAAAAUUUUCUCGAUAUUCCAACCAAAACAAUGCCCAAAUCCGACGUUUUCAAGGCCGGUGACCCGAUUUUCGCCAAGGUCAAAGGUUACCCGCACUGGCCAGCGAGGGUUGAACCCUAUGAAGAAGAUCCAUCUGGCAAACCAUUAAAAAAGUAUCCAGUCCUGUUUUAUGGGACUUAUGAGACGGCUUUGCUGAAACCAGAUGAA